ensembl:snoRNA
UGGACAAGUGAUGAUCUCUAUCGGUGCAUGAGUCUCAUCUGAUGAACAAAAAUGUGCCUGCAAUUCUGAGGUCCAG